UACGUAGGGUGCUAGCGUUGUCCGGAAUUAUUGGGCGUAAAGGGCUCGUAGGCGGUUUGUCGCGUCGGGAGUGAAAACUCAGGGCUUAACCCUGAGCCUGCUUCCGAUACGGGCAGACUAGAGGUAUGCAGGGGAGAACGGAAUUCCUGGUGUAGCGGUGAAAUGCGCAGAUAUCAGGAGGAACACCGGUGGCGAAGGCGGUUCUCUGGGCAUUACCUGACGCUGAGGAGCGAAAGUGUGGGGAGCGAACAGG
rnacentral:rRNA from 1 species